rnacentral:rRNA from 1 species
AUGAUAGACAUUCACUACCAUGACAUGGAGAAAAAAAUUAACCGCCAGGAGGACCAUACUCUGUGGGAAUUUUGCCCGCUGCCAGAAAAGCUUAUCAAGUAUGCAGCAAUAGAUGCAUUCGCAACAUAUGUGUCAUGGAGAAUCAUCUACGAUGUCAUAAUGGGACUAGACAGGGCAAAAAGAGACAAAGAAGCAAAGAAGAAGAAGAACAAGGACGCACACGGCACGCCGCAUCGCCGCCUGCUCCGGCUCGUUCAAGACUCGGCCUCGCAGGGGGUUGGGGAGGGGGGUCACGACCCCCCUCCCCACCCCCUGGUCGGCCUCACGCUAACGCACGCGCAGUGCGGACAUUCAAUUUUUCGAACAAUAGGACGCACGCACCCCCAGAGCCACACCCCUAAGACAGACAGAGAAGCGACGGGGUGUGACGGACUUGCCUACGCAUGCGGUGUCGCGGCACGCCGCGUCGCCGCCUGCUCCGGCUCAUUCCAGGCCCGGCCUCGUAGGGGGUUGGGGAGGGGGGUCACGACCCCCCUCCCACCCACUGCUCGGCCUCGCGCUAACGCAUGCAGUGCGCUUGGUUGA